AUUGAACGCUGGCGGCAGGCCUAACACAUGCAAGUCGAGCGGAUGAAGGGAGCUUGCUCCUGGAUUCAGCGGCGGACGGGUGAGUAAUGCCUAGGAAUCUGCCUUGUAGUGGGGGAUAACGUCCGGAAACGGGCGCUAAUACCACAUACGUCCUGAGGGAGAAAGUGGGGGAUCUUCGGACCUCACGCUAUCAGAUGAGCCUAGGUCGGAUUAGCUAGUUGGUGGGGUAAAGGCCUACCAAGGCGACGAUCCGUAACUGGUCUGAGAGGAUGAUCAGUCACACUGUAACUGAGACACGGUCCAGACUCCUACGGGAGGCAGCAGUGGGGAAUAUUGGACAAUGGGCGAAAGCCUGAUCCAGCCAUGCCGCGUGUGUGAAGAAGGUCUUCGGAUUGUAAAGCACUUUAAGUUGGGAGGAAGGGCAGUAAGUUAAUACCUUGCUAUUUUGACGUUACCAACAGAAUAAGCACCGGCUAACUUCGUG
rnacentral:rRNA from 1 species